rnacentral:rRNA from 1 species
AUGAACGCUGGCGACGUGGAUAAGGCAUGCAAGUCAAGGGGCUCGCAAGAGCACCGGCAGACGAGGUAGUAAUACGUAGGUACAACCCUUCAAGAUUGGUAUAGCUCGUCGAAAGACGGGGUAAUCCCAAAUAGUCCCUUCGGGGUAAAGGAGUAAUCCGCUUGAAGAUUGGCCUGCGGGGUAUCAGCUAGUUGGUAAGGUAAAAGCUUACCAAGGCUAUGACGCCUAGGGGAGGUGAGAGCCUGACCCCCACCGAUGGUACUGAGACACGGACCAUACACCUACGGGUGGCUGCAGUCGAGAAUCUUCCGCAAUGGGCGAAAGCCUGACGGAGCGACGUCGCGUGAUUGAUGAAGUCCCUCUGGGACGUAAAGAUCUUUUAUAGGGGAGAACGUGGCAUUUAUGCCACACGAUAGUACCUUAUGAAUAAGGGGUUGCUAAACUCGU